UACAGAGGUCUCAAGCGUUGUUCGGAUUCAUUGGGCGUAAAGGGUGUGUAGGUGGCGCGCUAAGUCGGGGUGUGAAAUUUCGGAGCUUAACUCCGAAACUGCAUUCGAUACUGGCGUGCUUGAGGACUGGAGAGGAGACUGGAAUUUACGGUGUAGCAGUGAAAUGCGUAGAUAUCGUAAGGAAGACCAGUGGCGAAGGCGGGUCUCUGGACAGUUCCUGACGCUGAGGCACGAAGGUCAGGGGAGCAAACGGG
rnacentral:rRNA from 1 species